rnacentral:rRNA from 1 species
GACGAACGCUGGCGGCGUGCUUAACACAUGCAAGUCGAACGGAAAGGCCCUGCUUUUGUGUGGUGCUCGAGUGGCGAACGGGUGAGUAACACGUGAGUAACCUGCCCUUGACUUUGGGAUAACUUCAGGAAACUGGGGCUAAUACCGGAUAGGAGCUCCUGCUGCAUGGUGGGGGUUGGAAAGUUUCGGCGGUUGUGGAUGGACUCGCGGCUUAUUAGCUUGUUGGUGGGGUAGUGGCUUACCAAGGCUUUGACGGGUAGCCGGCCUGAGAGGGGGACCGGCCACAUUGGGACUGAGAUACGGCCCAGAGUCCUACGGGAGGCAGCAGUGGGGAAUAUUGCACAAUGGGCGGAAGCCUGAUGAAGCAACGCCGCGUGCGGGAUGACGGCCUUCGGGUUGUAAACCGCUUUAGCCUGUGACGAAGCGUGAGUGACGGUAAUGGGUAAAGAAGCACCGGCUAACUACGUG